rnacentral:lncRNA from 10 species
GAAGUUGCAGACUGCGCUCAGCAAGACCUCACAACAUGGAGGAAAAUUAAAGAGAUAAGUGGUCCAUGGAGUAUCCCCUUACCCCACCAUAAAUUGGCAUAAUUUUGUGCACAAUCCAGGGAGAAGAAAAAGAAGACCAGAAGCUUGCAAACCAUUCGAGAGAAGGAAGGGAGCUUUGUCAUGUUGCCAUCUGAGAGCCUUUUAAGACACAUGUUUUGGAAUACAGUCAAAUGCGUGCUGCUGUAUGACCAGCCUAUUUGAACUACUUAAGCAUCAACUAAUUAAUCUGCAAGUGAAGAAUACUUCCAGCAUUACUCUAUAAUUAGACAAUCUCAGGAGGAAACAAGAGGAUUUCAAAGGGGAGUCAGAUGGUUUCGCAGACCGCUACAUCAUUUAUUUUUUCAUCACUCAGAUUAUGCCUCCAAAUCCUACAGAAGUAUAACAACCAUAGAACAGACAAACACCAACAGCAUCAACAACAGAGAAACUCAGUCCAGGAGGAUAUGAAACCCUUUGUAAUAAAGAAAGCAACAUCCAUGA